rnacentral:rRNA from 1 species
ACUGAACGCUGGCGGCAUGCCUUACACAUGCAAGUCGAACGGCAGCGCGGACUUCGGUCUGGCGGCGAGUGGCGAACGGGUGAGUAAUACAUCGGAACGUACCCUGUUGUGGGGGAUAACUAGUCGAAAGAUUAGCUAAUACCGCAUACGACCUGAGGGUGAAAGUGGGGGACCGCAAGGCCUCACGCAGCAGGAGCGGCCGAUGUCUGAUUAGCUAGUUGGUGGGGUAAAGGCCCACCAAGGCGACGAUCAGUAGCUGGUCUGAGGGGACGGUCAGCCACACUGGGACUGAGGCACGGCCCGGACUCCUACGGGAGGCAGCAGUGGGGAAUUUUGGACAAUGGGGGCAACCCUGAUCCAGCAAUGCCGCGUGUGUGAAGAAGGCCUUCGGGUUGUAAAGCACUUUUGUCCGGAAAGAAAUCGCGCUGGUUAAUACCUGGCGUGGAUGACGGUACCGGAAGAAUAAGCACCGGCUAACUACGUGCCAGCAGCCGCCGUAA